rnacentral:tRNA from 1 species
GGGGAUUUGGCUCAAUGGUAGAGCGCUUGCCUAGGAAGCGCAAGGUCCUGAGUUCAGUCCCCA